AUUGAACGCUGGCGGCAUGCUUUACACAUGCAAGUCGAACGGUAACAGCACUUCGGUGGCUGACGAGUGGCGAACGGGUGAGUAAUACAUCGGAACGUGCCUAGUAGUGGGGGAUAACUACUCGAAAGAGUAGCUAAUACCGCAUGAGAUCUAAGGAUGAAAGCAGGGGACCUUCGGGCCUUGCGCUACUAGAGCGGCUGAUGGCAGAUUAGGUAGUUGGUGGGAUAAAAGCUUACCAAGCCGACGAUCUGUAGCUGUUCUGAGAGGACGACCAGCGACACUGGGACUGAGACAGGGCCCAGACUCCUACGGGAGGCAGCAGUGGGGAAUUUUGGACAGUGGGCGCAAGCCUGAUCCAGCAAUGCCGCGUGCAGGAUGAAGGCCUUCGGGUUGUAAACUGCUUUUGUACGGAACGAAAAGCCCUCUUCUAAUACAGGAGGGUCAUGACGGUACCGUAAGAAUAAGCACCGGCUAACUACGUG
rnacentral:rRNA from 1 species